rnacentral:rRNA from 1 species
UACGUAGGUGGCAAGCGUUGUCCAGAAUUAUUGGGCAUAAAGCGCGCGCAGGCGGUCCUUUAAGUCUGAUGUGAAAGCCCACGGCUCAACCGUGGAGGGUCAUUGGAAACUGGGGGACUUGAGUACAGAAGAGGAAAGCGGAAUUCCACGUGUAGCGGUGAAAUGCGUAGAGAUGUGGAGGAACACCAGUGGCGAAGGCGGCUUUCUGGUCUGUAACUGACGCUGAGGCGCGAAAGCGUGGGGAGCAAACAGG